ensembl:snoRNA SNORD14 Small nucleolar RNA SNORD14
CAUUCGCAGUUUCCACCAGAGGUCUAACGACCAAAGAUGGUUCAAAUCUUCCUUGGAUGUCUGA